GACGAACGCUGGCGGCGUGCUUAACACAUGCAAGUCGAACGGAAAGGCCCUGCUUGCCGGGUACUCGAGUGGCGAACGGGUGAGUAACACGUGGGUGAUCUGCCCUGCACUUCGGGAUAAGCCUGGGAAACUGGGUCUAAUACCGGAUAGGAGCCAUUUUUAGUGUGAUGGUUGGAAAGUUUUUUCGGUGUAGGAUGAGCUCGCGGCCUAUCAGCUUGUUGGUGGGGUAAUGGCCUACCAAGGCGGCGACGGGUAGCCGGCCUGAGAGGGUGGACGGCCACAUUGGGACUGAGAUACGGCCCAGACUCCGACGGGAGGCAGCAGUGGGGAAUAUUGCACAAUGGGCGCAAGCCUGAUGCAGCGACGCCGCGGGGGGGAUGACGGCCUUCGGGUCGUAAACUCCUUUCGCUAGGGACGAAGCUUUUUGUGACGGUACCUAGAGAAGAAGCACCGGCUAACUACGUG
rnacentral:rRNA from 1 species